rnacentral:misc_RNA from 1 species
CAUUCAGUAGCCUAGCUACUUGUUUAUACCCUUGUUUUUUUUGCGUACCUAUUGUUUCCUCGGUGGGCUUGCCUGCCGGUUGGACAAAACUAUAACCUUUUUAAAUCUUCAAUCAGCGUCUGAAUUAUACAUAAUAAUUA